GUUUCCGAGGCGCGAGUCAGAGUUGGCGAAGGAUCGCUUUCUUGGCUGUGACUUUUCCCGCGUGGAGUUGUCUCUCGCCAAAUACGGAUAUUUUUAGAGCGAUUUCUGGAGAGAGUCGAAAAUUCGCUGUCUUCACGGAGCUCAACUUCCAGUAGAAAGACAGUAAGAAACAUACUAAGUAAGUCUCAAGCCUUGAGGACUGAAGCUGAAGCAGACCCUUUGGGACAACAUAACUACGUAAAUCAACUGAACUGUCAUCCCCACCCUUGCAACAUCAAUCACCGUAGGAGACUUUCCCCUCUCUUAUGCCUACCCCAGGGUCUAGCGAGGUCCUAGUGUGGAUACAGGGAAGCCAGUUUCUCAAAUGACCAUUUCAAAGUCUGAAUCGGUGGCCCCAAUUUUUAAGUGCUUUCUGAAAGGCAGGCUUUGCUCAACCAACUGAGCCACCCCGGUGCCCCUCAUCCUUUCAAAUAUCAACCUAAAGUGCUUAUAUGUGUGGGUGGAAUCCACUCCUAACUCGAAACCACGGUUAAGAUGAUAAAGAUGAGGAAAAGUAACAUUGCCAAACCUGUAAGGCCGUGUAGUAACGAAAUUAAAGGCAAGUGGGGUGAGGUGUGACGGUGGGGGAAGGGAUGGGUUCUUGUUUACUCAUUCUAAAUACAAGACCGAUUUCAUCUCCAGUGAAAGAGAUCAGCCCAAGAUGAAUGAACGUCCCUCUCACAGUGUUAUCAGCAUUAUAAUAGCAACGUCCGCUGACGUGCACACACUACGAUACCAGCCUUACCUACAUGGCUUCGUUGAAUCCAAACAGCCAGCCUAAGUGGUAAAUGCUUUUAUUAGCUCUAUUUUACAACUGAGGAAACUGGGCCUUACAGGAAGGUUAAGUAAAUUAUCCAAAGUUAGCACAGCUAGUAAGUAAUUGGUAGAGGGAGGAUCAGAACCUCGCUAUUCUCAAUCUACCAUACUGAAAAGCCUCAUUUCUUCAACUGGAAACCUGUUACCGAUCAUGGGCUACGUUCCAGGGUUACUUCUAUGGCCUGCGCCUUUUUCAACCAGUAUGGAGGUGCUUUUAUAGGGCAUUCACAAAGACCUAAUGACCACACAAUCACCAGAGCUUAGUCACUGGGUCUCCCAAAGAUCCUUUCUCUUUCAAUGUUGCCACCGACAAACUGUGACACCGGAAAAUGUUUCUUCGAUGGGUACUUUUAAUCUUGAAGGGAAACUUCCUCCGUGCAAAAAUGUACAAAUUACAGACUCUUAUUGUCCAUACCCUAGACAAUACCUUCUUAUCUCGGGUGAAAUCUGCCAUGUGAGCAAAGGGAACUGAUUUUUAUCGUCAGGUGCCUGCCCCCAGUCUUUGGAUCAGAGUUUGCUUGCGUUUUCUUUCUGAGAUACAGAAAGUUAAGAGAGAACAGAUGUUCAUCUUAAGCUCUAAUUCGAUUUAGACUUUAUUUUAGAAUCAAGUUCCAAGUAAACAAGUAGCUAAUAAGCUCUUCUUUACACAACACUUCAAGCUGUAUGGAUAUAAAAUAAAAAAUAAAAAAUAAAAUAAAAUAAAACUUCUGUUCUGAACCUAAUUAGGAUAUAUAUUCAUAUGUCAUUGUAAGAGAGCUAGGAAAUAUGGACCUUGAAGGAGAAGAAAGGUAGAGGCUAACAGAAAGAGAUCAGCAGGUAGGUAUGGGAAGCUUAUUCCAAGCAGAGAUCACAACUUUGAGCACAGGCUAGUAGAUGAGAGACUGGAUAUACUGGAUUUUGGACUAGAAGAUUAAUGUGGACAAAGCUUGGGCACAUGGGAGAAGGCAAGAAGAAAGAUGUAGCAGAGGCUAAGGCUGUCAAGGAGGUAAGAGCCAAAUUCUGUAAGACUCUGAAUACCAGACAGAAUAGGUAGAAUGUUAAAAAAAAAAAAAAAAA